CAAGACUUGACAUCCCGCUGACCGUUCUAGAGAUAGAGCUUCCCUUCGGGGCAGCGGUGACAGGUGGUGCAUGGUUGUCGUCAGCUCGUGUCGUGAGAUGUUGGGUUAAGUCCCGCAACGAGCGCAACCCCUAUGUUGUGUUGCUACCAUUUAGUUGAGCACUUACAACAGACUGCCGGUGACAAACCGGAGGAAGGCGGGGAUGACGUCAAAUCAUCAUGCCCCUUAUGUCUUGGGCUACACACGUGCUACAAUGGACGGUACAAAGGGUUGCGAAGCCGCGAGGUGGAGCCAAUCCCAGAAAGCCGUUCGUAGUUCGGAUUGCAGGCUGCAACUCGCCUGCAUGAAGCCGGAAUUGCUAGUAAUCGCGGAUCAGCAUGCCGCGGUGAAUUCGUUCCCGGGCCUUGUACACACCGCCCGUCACACCAUGGGAGUUGGUAACACCCGAAGUCGGUGAGGUAACUGCUUGCAGAGCCAGCCGCCUAAGGUGGGAUCGAUAACUGGGGUG
rnacentral:rRNA from 1 species